rnacentral:rRNA from 1 species
GAUGAACGCUGGCGGCGUGCCUAAUACAUGCAAGUCGAGCGAACAGACGAGGAGCUUGCUCCUCUGACGUUAGCGGCGGACGGGUGAGUAACACGUGGAUAACCUACCUAUAAGCCUGGGAUAACUUCGGGAAACCGGAGCUAAUACCGGAUAAUAUAUUUAACCGCAUGGUUCAAUAGUGAAAGACGGUUUUGCUGUCACUUCUAGAUGGAUCCGCGCCGCAUUAGCUAGUUGGUAAGGUAACGGCUUACAAAGGCAACGAUGCGUAGCCGACCUGAGAGGGUGAUCGGCCACACUGGAACUGAGACACGGUCCAGACUCCUACGGGAGGCAGCAGUAGGGAAUCUUCCGCAAUGGGCGAAAGCCUGACGGAGCAACGCCGCGUGAGUGAUGAAGGUCUUCGGAUCGUAAAACUCUGUUAUUAGGGAAGAACAAAUGUGUAAGUAACUAUGCACGUCUUGACGGUACCUAAUCAGAAAGCCACGGCUAACUACGUG